rnacentral:rRNA from 1 species
AUGUAUUCCGGGACAUCGAUGGCGGCCCCACAUGUAGCAGGAAUCGUCGCGCUACUGAAAGCUUUGCACCAAGACUGGUCUCCUGCCGUCAUAAAAUCUGCCAUCAUCACCACAGCCCAUGUAACGGACGAGCGCGACAUGCCCAUACUAGCGGAAGGAGUGCUGCGGAAGAUGGCAGACCCGUUUGACUAUGGCGGCGGCAACAUCAACCCUGACGGCGCGGCUGAUCCCGGCCUGGUCUACGACAUCGAUCCCCGCGACUAUAACAGAUUCUUUGGGUGCACCAUCGUCAGGAGGACGAACGUGAGUUGUGACGCGACGGCGCUACCGGCAUACCACCUGAACCUGCCAUCUAUCGCAGUGCCUGAGCUGAGGCGCCCGAUCACUGUGUGGAGGACAGUGACGAACGUCGGUGAGGCCAACUCUGUGUACCAUGCAAAAGUCCAGAGCCCAGCUGGAGUCAGGAUCAAGGUCGAGCCGCCAAUGCUUGUGUUCGACGCCACGAACAGAGUUCAUUCAUUUAAGGUGAAGUUGUCGCCUAUGUGGAGGCUGCAAGGGGACUACACCUUUGGCAGCAUUACUUGGCGUAAGGAUCAGAAGACAGUGAGGAUUCCUGUUGCGGCCCGAAUGACCAUUCAAGAUUUCUAUGCGGAUGUUGCAUAA